UCCCUCUUAGCUCAGUUGGUAGAGCGCGUCACUAGUAUGUCGGCACAUAUACAUUUGUGUAAUGACGAGGUCAGUCGUUCAAAUCGGCUAGCGGGAA